UUAAGUUAUUAAGGGCGCACGGUGGAUGCCUUGGCACUAGAAGCCGAUGAAGGACGUUACUAACGACGAUAUGCUUUGGGGAGCUGUAAGUAAGCUUUGAUCCAGAGAUUUCCGAAUGGGGAAACCCAGCAUGAGUUAUGUCAUGUUAUCGAUAUGUGAAUACAUAGCAUAUCAGAAGGCACACCCGGAGAACUGAAACAUCUUAGUACCCGGAGGAAGAGAAAGAAAAUUCGAUUCCCUUAGUAGCGGCGAGCGAAACGGGAAGAGCCCAAACCAACAAGCUUGCUUGUUGGGGUUGUAGGACACUCUAUACGGAGUUACAAAGGACGACAUUAGACGAAUCAUCUGGAAAGAUGAAUCAAAGAAGGUAAUAAUCCUGUAGUCGAAAAUGUUGUCUCUCUUGAGUGGAUCCUGAGUAAGACGGAGCACGUGAAAUUCCGUCGGAAUCUGGGAGGACCAUCUCCUAAGGCUAAAUACUCUCUAGUGACCGAUAGUGAACCAGUACCGUGAGGGAAAGGUGAAAAGCACCCCGGAAGGGGAGUGAAAUAGAACCUGAAACCGUGUGCUUACAAGUAGUCAGAGCCCGUUAAUGGGUGAUGGCGUGCCUUUUGUAGAAUGAACCGGCGAGUUACGAUUUGAUGCAAGGUUAAGCAGUAAAUGUGGAGCCGUAGCGAAAGCGAGUCUGAAUAGGGCGUUUAGUAUUUGGUCGUAGACCCGAAACCAGGUGAUCUACCCUUGGUCAGGUUGAAGUUCAGGUAACACUGAAUGGAGGACCGAACCGACUUACGUUGAAAAGUGAGCGGAUGAACUGAGGGUAGCGGAGAAAUUCCAAUCGAACCUGGAGAUAGCUGGUUCUCUCCGAAAUAGCUUUAGGGCUAGCCUCAAGUGAUGAUUAUUGGAGGUAGAGCACUGUUUGGACGAGGGGCCCCUCUCGGGUUACCGAAUUCAGACAAACUCCGAAUGCCAAUUAAUUUAACUUGGGAGUCAGAACAUGGGUGAUAAGGUCCGUGUUCGAAAGGGAAACAGCCCAGACCACCAGCUAAGGUCCCAAAAUAUAUGUUAAGUGGAAAAGGAUGUGGCGUUGCCCAGACAACUAGGAUGUUGGCUUAGAAGCAGCCAUCAUUUAAAGAGUGCGUAAUAGCUCACUAGUCGAGUGACACUGCGCCGAAAAUGUACCGGGGCUAAACAUAUUACCGAAGCUGUGGAUUGUCCUUUGGACAAUGGUAGGAGAGCGUUCUAAGGGCGUUGAAGCAUGAUCGUAAGGACAUGUGGAGCGCUUAGAAGUGAGAAUGCCGGUGUGAGUAGCGAAAGACGGGUGAGAAUCCCGUCCACCGAUUGACUAAGGUUUCCAGAGGAAGGCUCGUCCGCUCUGGGUUAGUCGGGUCCUAAGCUGAGGCCGACAGGCGUAGGCGAUGGAUAACAGGUUGAUAUUCCUGUACCACCUAUAAUCGUUUUAAUCGAUGGGGGGACGCAGUAGGAUAGGCGAAGCGUGCGAUUGGAUUGCACGUCUAAGCAGUAAGGCUGAGUAUUAGGCAAAUCCGGUACUCGUUAAGGCUGAGCUGUGAUGGGGAGAAGACAUUGUGUCUUCGAGUCGUUGAUUUCACACUGCCGAGAAAAGCCUCUAGAUAGAAAAUAGGUGCCCGUACCGCAAACCGACACAGGUAGUCAAGAUGAGAAUUCUAAGGUGAGCGAGCGAACUCUCGUUAAGGAACUCGGCAAAAUGACCCCGUAACUUCGGGAGAAGGGGUGCUCUUUAGGGUUAACGCCCAGAAGAGCCGCAGUGAAUAGGCCCAAGCGACUGUUUAUCAAAAACACAGGUCUCUGCUAAACCGUAAGGUGAUGUAUAGGGGCUGACGCCUGCCCGGUGCUGGAAGGUUAAGAGGAGUGGUUAGCUUCUGCGAAGCUACGAAUCGAAGCCCCAGUAAACGGCGGCCGUAACUAUAACGGUCCUAAGGUAGCGAAAUUCCUUGUCGGGUAAGUUCCGACCCGCACGAAAGGCGUAACGAUUUGGGCACUGUCUCAACGAGAGACUCGGUGAAAUCAUAGUACCUGUGAAGAUGCAGGUUACCCGCGACAGGACGGAAAGACCCCGUGGAGCUUUACUGUAGCCUGAUAUUGAAAUUCGGCACAGCUUGUACAGGAUAGGUAGGAGCCUUUGAAACGUGAGCGCUAGCUUACGUGGAGGCGCUGGUGGGAUACUACCCUAGCUGUGUUGGCUUUCUAACCCGCACCACUUAUCGUGGUGGGAGACAGUGUCAGGCGGGCAGUUUGACUGGGGCGGUCGCCUCCUAAAAGGUAACGGAGGCGCUCAAAGGUUCCCUCAGAAUGGUUGGAAAUCAUUCAUAGAGUGUAAAGGCAUAAGGGAGCUUGACUGCGAGACCUACAAGUCGAGCAGGGUCGAAAGACGGACUUAGUGAUCCGGUGGUUCCGCAUGGAAGGGCCAUCGCUCAACGGAUAAAAGCUACCCCGGGGAUAACAGGCUUAUCUCCCCCAAGAGUUCACAUCGACGGGGAGGUUUGGCACCUCGAUGUCGGCUCAUCGCAUCCUGGGGCUGUAGUCGGUCCCAAGGGUUGGGCUGUUCGCCCAUUAAAGCGGUACGCGAGCUGGGUUCAGAACGUCGUGAGACAGUUCGGUCCCUAUCCGUCGUGGGCGUAGGAAAUUUGAGAGGAGCUGUCCUUAGUACGAGAGGACCGGGAUGGACAUACCUCUGGUGUACCAGUUGUCGUGCCAACGGCAUAGCUGGGUAGCUAUGUGUGGACGGGAUAAGUGCUGAAAGCAUCUAAGCAUGAAGCCCCCCUCAAGAUGAGAUUUCCCAACUUCGGUUAUAAGAUCCCUCAAAGAUGAUGAGGUUAAUAGGUUCGAGGUGGAAGCAUGGUGACAUGUGGAGCUGACGAAUACUAAUCGAUCGAAGACUUAAUCAA
rnacentral:rRNA from 12 species